GUCGACGGGCUCUUUCGGGAGCUAGUGGCGGACGGGUGAGUAACGCGUGAGAAUCUGCCUUCAGGUCGGGGAUAACAGAGGGAAACUUCUGCUAAUACCGGAUGUGCUGAAAAGUGAAAGAUUUAUUGCCUGAAGAGGAGCUCGCGUCUGAUUAGCUAGUUGGUGAGGUAAAAGCUGACCAAGGCAACGAUCAGUAGCUGGUCUGAGAGGAUGAGCAGCCACACUGGGACUGAGACACGGCCCAGACUCCUACGGGAGGCAGCAGUGGGGAAUUUUCCGCAAUGGGCGAAAGCCUGACGGAGCAAUACCGCGUGAGGGAGGAAGGCUUUUGGGUUGUAAACCUCUUUUCUCAGGGAAGAAGAAAUGACGGUACCUGAGGAAUAAGCAUCGGCUAACUCCGUGCCAGCAGCCGCGGUAAUACGGAGGAUGCAAGCGUUAUCCGGAAUUAUUGGGCGUAAAGCGUCCGCAGGUGGCUUUUGCAAGUCUGCUGUCAAAGACCGAAGCUCAACUUCGGGCAGGCGGUGGAAACUGCAAGGCUAGAGGCCGGUAGGGGUAGAGGGAAUUCCCAGUGUAGCGGUGAAAUGCGUAGAGAUUGGGAAGAACACCAGUGGCGAAAGCGCUCUACUGGGCCGGUACUGACACUCAGGGACGAAAGCUAGGGUAGCGAAAGGGAUUAGAUACCCCUGUAGUCCUAGCUGUAAACGAUGGAUACUAGGCGUAGCUUGUAUCGACCCGAGC
rnacentral:rRNA from 1 species